CCGCAAUGGGCGAAAGCCUGACGGAGCAACGCCGCGUGAGUGAUGAAGGUCUUCGGAUCGUAAAGCUCUGUUGUUAGGGAAGAACAAAUGUGUAAGUAACUAUGCACAUCUUGACGGUACCUAACCAGAAAGCCACGGCUAACUACGUGCCAGCAGCCGCGGUAAUACGUAGGUGGCAAGCGUUAUCCGGAAUUAUUGGGCGUAAAGCGCGCGUAGGCGGUUUUUUAAG
rnacentral:rRNA from 1 species